UAAUUUUGGUGGUGGGUGACAAAGGUGUAUUUGAUAUUGAUAAAAAGCAGCCAAAGUAUGGAUGAAGAUAAAACACUACUCAUGAAAAUCGAACCAAAACAAGAAGAAGAAAUCCAUUCCUUCCUUCAGGGACACAUUUCAGUAAGCAAUGAAGUUGUGGUGAAAAUAAAGGACGAAAUUACCAUUAGUACACCAUCUUCUAAAUCUUGCAAUGAAGAAGUACGGCAAAACUCUGACUUUCAACGUCACUUUUUAACCCUGUGUAAAACAGUGUCUAACGAUUUUAAAUGUACUAAUUGUGAUUAUCGGACAAAUGUUAAAAGCAACUCAAACAACAUCUUUUAAUACCUAAAGUUUCUGAGGAUUUUAAA